rnacentral:ncRNA from 19 species
AAAUAGAUCAGUAUGGACAUAUCUGGGAGCAAAAUGUAUUUACUCGAAGAAAAACAAACACAACUGAAAGGAGAGACUUGCGCAGGAUGCAGAUCAAAAGUCACGC